ACAGCAAGCUUGCUUGCUGUGUCGUGACUGCGUGCCUUUUGAAGAAUGAGCCUGCGAGUUUGCGGCAUGUUGCGAGGUUAACCCGUGUGGGGGAGCCGUAGCGAAAGCGAGUCCGAAGAGGGCGACCUGAGUAGCGUGUUCAAGACCCGAAGCGGAGUGAUCUAGCCAUGGGCAGGGUGAAGCGGAGGUAAGACUUCGUGGAGGCCCGAACCCACCAGGGUUGAAAACCUGGGGGAUGACCUGUGGUUAGGGG
rnacentral:rRNA from 1 species